AUCUUGCACAAUGGGGGAAACCCUGAUGCAGCGACGCCGCGUGAGCGAUGAAGCCCUUCGGGGUGUAAAGCUCUUUCGGCAGGAACGAUAAUGACGGUACCUGCAGAAGAAGCUGCGGCUAACUACGUGCCAGCAGCCGCGGGAAUACGUAGGCAGCAAGCGUUGUUCGGAAUUACUGGGCGUAAAGAGUGUGUAGGUGGUGUCGUAAGUUUGGUGUGAAAUCUCCCGGCUUAACUGGGAGGGUGCGCCGAAGACUGCGAUGCUGGAGUAUGGGAGAGGAAAGCGGAAUUCCUGGUGUAGCGGUGAAAUGCGUAGAUAUCAGGAGGAACACCUGCGGUGUAGACGGCUUUCUGGACCAUUACUGACACUGAGACACGAAAGCGUGGGUAGCGAACAG
rnacentral:rRNA from 1 species